UCUGCCCCUAGAGACAUUGCAGGGGUAGCCUCUGGGUCACAUGUGUGUGUCAGUAGGUGGCAGAGAGGUGAGAGGCUAUGUGUCCGCUCAGUGUUUGUGAACUGUGAACACCAGAAGGAUAAGUAGCAGAACACU